GUCCGAAGAGACAUGCCCUUAGCCUGACUAUCAUCAUCAACCCAACAAUACCUUUGUUUAAAGUGUUCAGUCUCCGUUCUUGACAGGACAGCCAACAGGCACUCGCUGCCUGAAAAGUACUCUGCUGUGGACUCAAAGCUUUGUUGCAGCGUCUCCAUUCCCUCAAACUGUCAGAGUGAAACAAAAUAAGUGCUCAAACUCACCACUGGAGACUGCCAUGGAAAGAGCUGAUGAAGAGAGGCCCCUCCUCCAUGUCCAACCUCCUACUUCUCCUCAGGAUGCAGCUUCAGAAUAUGCAAGAGAUGGAUCAGUUGAUAUCAACAAACAGCCUGCUCUUAAGAAUGGCACGGGGAAGUGGAGAGCAUGCUUCCUCAUCUUAGGUGUCGAAUUCAGUGAGUGCAUGGCCUUCUUUGCGAUCUCCAAGAAUUUAGUUACCUACCUCACAACUGUUCUACAUGAAAGCAAAGUCGCUGCAGCGGGAAAUGUCUCUGCCUGGGUCGGAGCUUGCUUCUUCACUCCACUUUUUGGUGCUUUCAUUGCAGACACUUACUGGGGGAGAUAUUGGACAAUCGUUGUUUUCCUUCCAGUUUACUUUGUCGCUAUGGUCGUUCUAAUAGCCUCUGCAUCCCUCCCCAUAUUUGCCAUGUCUACCGACCAUGGUGGCAAUGUUCACCGAAUAGUGUUUUACCUUGGACUCUACCUUGCUGCCAUUGGGAACGGCGGUGUUAAGCCCUGCACAUCAACCUUUGGGGCUGACCAAUUUGACACAACUGACCCAGUAGAGCGGGUGCAGAAGGGCUCCUUCUUCAACUGGUACUACUUCAUGAUCAGCACCAGCUCCCUGCUGUCUGGCACAGUGAUUGUUUGGCUGCAGGAAAAUGUUGGGUGGGCGGUCAGCUUCGCGAUCCCAGCAGCACUCAUGCUCAUUUGUUUCCUUGUAUUUUUAUCUGGCUCGAGGAUAUACAGGUUUAGGAAAAUGGGAGCAAGCCCCCUUACGAGCAUAUUUCAAGUGAUUGUAGCAGCUGCCAGAAAGUGGCAUAUGAAAUUGCCGGAUGAUAGCUCGCUUCUGUAUGAGCUGACUUUGCCUUCUGCAACUGAUGAGAGUCAUAAAAUCAAACAUACCAAUGAAUUCAGGUUCUUUGACAAGGCUGCUAUUGCAUCGUCCCCAUCAGACAAAGAAUUCACAGUGCCAGUAAGCUCAUGGCAGCUCUGUACGGUGACACAGGUUGAGGAGGUCAAGAUGCUGCUGCGGAUAUCUCCCAUCUGGGCAUCAUUCCUGAUCUUUUACUCAGUCAGCGCGCAGAUGGCAUCAACUUUGGUUGAGCAGGGCAUGUUCAUGGACAACCGUGUCGGCUCGUUCGCCAUCCCACCCGCAUCCAUGUCGAUCAUUGGUGUGUUCAGUAUCUUUAUCUGGGUCCCAGCUUAUGAAACUUUAUUGGUACCACUUGCAAGGCGUUUCACCGGCAAGGAAAAGGGCUUCUCCCAGGCACAGCGCCUAGCCAUUGGCCAAGCAUUGUCCAUGCUCACAAUGGUGUAUGCGGCAUUGAUUGAGAUGAGGAGGCUGGCGAUUGCGGAAGUCAAAGGCCUGACAAAUCAGAAUGUGCCUGUGCCAAUGAGCAUCCUUUGGCAAGCGCCACUUUAUUUGGUGCAUGGUGCAGCUGAGGUCUUUGGCGGCAUUGGCGUGACGGAGCUCUUUUAUGACCAUUCCCCAGAGACUAUGAAAAGCCUGUGUGCAGCACUUGGGCAGCUGGCACUUGCAUCCGGGUCUUGCAUCAACACAUUCCUUCUUGGUGUUGUCGCAGUAGCCACAACACAUGGUGGGGCACCUGGGUGGAUCCCGGACAAUCUGAAUGAAGGUCAUCUGGACUAUUUCUUUUGGAUGCUGGCCGCUCUUAGCUUACUGAAUUUGGCUCUGUUUGUGCAUUACUCAGUGAGGCACAGAGGCAAGACAAGUUGUUGACCCGAAAGGUGUUUUCGUAGUGCCUAACUGCCUGUCAGGCAGUAGUUGUUUUUUGCAAGCUAAGUGCCAAGAUUACAAGAGUUGAUCCUGACACAUGGUUGGUUACAUCUUAAAUUCAGUUUUCACAUCACUUGUGAGAUUCAAAUUCAAUAGUGACUGAAGCAGGGCACAAACUUGUAGUUUUUUUUCUAUUCUUACUAUCGCCUCUAUCAUAAAGAGAAAUUUCCUGGCAAAGCUGAAAAUAAGAACCCACUGAGCAACA